rnacentral:rRNA from 1 species
GAUGAACGCUGGCGGCGUGCCUAACACAUGCAAGUCGAGCGAGGGUUUGCUCAGUAUUGAGUAUUCUAAAACUAGAAUGUUCAAUUCUGAGCAAAACCAAGCGGCGGACGGGUGAGUAACGCGUGGGUAACCUGCCCUAUACACAUGGAUAACAUACUGAAAAGUUUACUAAUACAUGAUAAUAUAUAUUUGCGGCAUCGCAGAUAUAUCAAAGUGUUAGCGGUAUAGGAUGGACCCGCGUCUGAUUAGCUAGUUGGUGAGAUAACUGCCCACCAAGGCGACGAUCAGUAGCCGACCUGAGAGGGUGAUCGGCCACAUUGGAACUGAGACACGGUCCAAACUCCUACGGGAGGCAGCAGUGGGGAAUAUUGCACAAUGGGCGAAAGCCUGAUGCAGCAACGCCGCGUGAACAAUGAAGGUCUUCGGAUCGUAAAGUUCUGUUGCAGGGGAAGAUAAUGACGGUACCCUGUGAGGAA